UACGUAGGGUGCGAGCGUUAAUCGGAAUUACUGGGCGUAAAGCGUGCGCAGGCGGUUUGCUAAGACAGGUGUGAAAUCCCCGGGCUUAACCUGGGGACUGCGCUUGUGACUGGCAGGCUAGAGUACGGCAGAGGCGGGUGGAAUUCCUGGUGUAGCAGUGAAAUGCGUAGAUAUCAGGAGGAACACCGAUGGCGAAGGCAGCCCCCUGGGCCUGUACUGACGCUCAUGCACGAAAGCGUGGGGAGCAAACAGGAUUAGAUA
rnacentral:rRNA from 1 species